AUUGAACGCUGGCGGCAUGCCUUACACAUGCAAGUCGAACGGCAACAGAUUUUCGGAUGCCGACGAGUGGCGAACGGUUGAGUAAUACUUCGGAACGUGUCCAGACCUGCUGUAUAACGGGGCGUAACGUUUGCUAAUACCGCAUACUAUCUCAGGAUGCCUGCAGGGGACAGCAAGGGCUUUUGGGACUUUGGCCGCCGAUGUCAGAUUAGGUAGUUGGAGGGAUAAAAGCUUACCAAGCCGACGAUCGGUAGCUGGUCUGAGAGGACGACCAGCCACACUGGAACUGAGACACGGCCCAGACUCCUACGGGAGGCAGCAGUGGGGAAUUUUGGACAAUGGGCGAAAGCCUGAUCCAGCAAUGCCGCGUGCAGGAUGAAGGCCUUCGGGUUGUAAACUGCUUUUGUACGGAACGAAAAGGCGCUGGCUAAUACCUGGUGCACAUGACGGUACCGAAAGAAUAAGCACCGGCUAACUACGUG
rnacentral:rRNA from 1 species